ACGCUGGCGGCGCGCCUAACACAUGCAAGUCGAACGAGCGAGAGAGAGCUUGCUUUCUCGAGCGAGUGGCGAACGGGUGAGUAACGCGUGAGGAACCUGCCUCAAAGAGGGGGACAACAGUUGGAAACGACUGCUAAUACCGCAUAAGCCCACGGGUCGGCAUCGACCAGAGGGAAAAGGAGCAAUCCGCUUUGAGAUGGCCUCGCGUCCGAUUAGCUAGUUGGUGAGGUAACGGCCCACCAAGGCAACGAUCGGUAGCCGGACUGAGAGGUUGAACGGCCACAUUGGGACUGAGACACGGCCCAGACUCCUACGGGAGGCAGCAGUGGGGAAUAUUGCACAAUGGGGGAAACCCUGAUGCAGCGACGCCGCGUGGAGGAAGAAGGUCUUCAGAUUGUAAACUCCUGUUGUUGAGGAAGAUAAUGACGGUACUCAACAAGGAAGUGACGGCUAACUACGUGCCAGCAGCCGCGGUAAAACGUAGGUCACAAGCGUUGUCCGGAAUUACUGGGUGUAAAGGGAGCGCAGGCGGGAAGACAAGUUGGAAGUGAAAUCCAUGGGCUCAACCCAUGAACUGCUUUCAAAACUGUUUUUCUUGAGUAGUGCAGAGGUAGGCGGAAUUCCCGGUGUAGCGGUGGAAUGCGUAGAUAUCGGGAGGAACACCAGUGGCGAAGGCGGCCUACUGGGCACCAACUGACGCUGAGGCUCGAAAGUGUGGGUAGCAAACAGGAUUAGAUACCCUGGUAGUCCACACCGUAAACGAUGAUUACUAGGUGUUGGAGGAUUGACCCCUUCAGUGCCGCAGUUAACACAAUAAGUAAUCCACCUGGGGAGUACGACCGCAAGGUUGAAACUCAAAGGAAUUGACGGAAGG
rnacentral:rRNA from 1 species